rnacentral:tRNA from 2 species
CGGGGCGUAGCUCAGCCUGGCUAGAGCGCUGCGUUCGGGACGCAGAGGUCGCAAGUUCAAAUCUUGUCGCCCCGA